UACGGAGGGGGCUAGCGUUGUUCGGAAUUACUGGGCGUAAAGCGCACGUAGGCGGCUUUGCAAGUUAGAGGUGAAAGCCCGGGGCUCAACUCCGGAGUUGCCUUUAAAACUGCAUCGCUAGAAUUGUGGAGAGGUAAGUGGAAUUCCGAGUGUAGAGGUGAAAUUCGUAGAUAUUCGGAAGAACACCAGUGGCGAAGGCGGCAUCCUGGACCGAUACUGACGCUGAGGAGCGAAAGCCAGGGGAGCAAACGGG
rnacentral:rRNA from 1 species